rnacentral:rRNA from 1 species
AUGUCCGUCGAGCGCGCCCUUCGGGGUGAGCGGCGGACGGGUGAGUAACGCGUGGGAACGUGCCCUCUUCUGCGGGAUAGCCUCUGGAAACGGAGAGUAAUACCGCAUACGCCCUUUUGGGGAAAGAUUUAUCGGAGGAGGAUCGGCCCGCGUUGGAUUAGGUAGUUGGUGGGGUAAUGGCCUACCAAGCCGACGAUCCAUAGCUGGUUUUAGAGGAUGAUCAGCCACACUGGGACUGAGACACGGCCCAGACUCCUACCGGAGGCAGCAGUGGGGAAUCUUAGACAAUGGGCGCAAGCCUGAUCUAGCCAUGCCGCGUGAGUGACGAAGGUCUUAGGAUCGUAAAGCUCUUUCGCCUGUGAAGAUAAUGACGGUAGCAGGUAAAGAAACCCCGGCUAACUCCGUGCCAGCAGCCGCGGUAAUACGGAGGGGGUUAGCGUUGUUCGGAAUUACUGGGCGUAAAGCGCACGUAGGCGGAUCAAAAAGUUGGGGGUGAAAUCCCGGGGCUCAACCCCGGAACUGCCUCCAAAACUUCUGGUCUGGAGUUCGAGAGAGGUGAGUGGAAUUCCGAGUGUAGAGGUGAAAUUCGUAGAUAUUCGGAGGAACACCAGUGGCGAAGGCGGCUCACUGGCUCGAUACUGACGCUGAGGUGCGAAAGUGUGGGGAGCAAACAGGAUUAGAUACCC